rnacentral:rRNA from 1 species
CUACGGGGCGCAGCAGUGGGGAAUAUUGCACAAUGGGCGCAAGCCUGAUGCAGCCAUGCCGCGUGUAUGAAGAAGGCCUUCGGGUUGUAAAGUACUUUCAGCGGGGAGGAAGGGAGUAAAGUUAAUACCUUUGCUCAUUGACGUUACCCGCAGAAGAAGCACCGGCUAACUCCGUGCCAGCAGCCGCGGUAAUACGGAGGGUGCAAGCGUUAAUGCGGAAUUACUGGGCGUAAAGCGCACGCAGGCGGUUUGUUAAGUCAGAUGUGAAAUCCCCGGGCUCAACCUGGGAACGGCAUCUGAUACUGGCAAGCUUGAGUCUCGUAGAGGGGGGUAGAAUUCCAGGUGUAGCGGUGAAAUGCGUAGAGAUCUGGAGGAAUACCGGUGGCGAAGGCGGCCCCCUGGACGAAGACUGACGCUCAGGUGCGAAAGCGUGGGGAGCAAACAGGAUUAGAUACCCCUGUAGUC